UUUUUUGCCUCUGUUUUGGUCACACUCUGGACAGUGGUCUCGAUUGGCUGUGUUACACGCAUCAUCAACUGAACAUUGCCAUGAUGUGAAUACUGUUGAUACUGAUGAUGUGGAUGCUGAUGAUGUGGAUGAUGAUAAUGUGGAUGCCUCCGGACUGAAAUAGCUGGACAGUGCCAUGAUGUGAAUACUGAUGAUACUGAUGAUGAGGAUGCUGAUGAUGUGGAUGCUGAUGAUGUGGAUGCCUCCGUUGAUCAACCAGUGACUGAAAUAGCUGGACAGUGCCAUGAUGUGAAUACUGUUGAUACUGAUGAUGUGGAUGUUGAUAAUGCUGAUGCCUCCGUUGAUCAACCAGGGACUGAAAUAGGUACACU